rnacentral:rRNA from 1 species
AUUGAACGCUGGCGGCAGGCUUAACACAUGCAAGUCGAGCCGGGUGAUGGUGCUUGCACUAUCACUUAGCGGCGGACGGGUGAGUCAUGCUUAGGAAUCUGCCUAUUAGUGGGGGACAACAUCUCGAAAGGGAUGCUAAUACCGCAUACGUCCUACGGGAGAAAGCAGGGGAUCCUCGGACCUUGCGCUAAUAGAUGAGCCUAAGUCGGAUUAGCGAGUUGGUGGGGUAAAGGCCUACCAAGGCGACGAUCCGUAGCGGGUCCGAGAGGAAGGUCCGCCACACUGGGUCGGAGACACGGCCCAGACUCCUACGGGAGGCAGCAGUGGGGAAUAUUGAACAAUGGGCGCAAGCCUGAUCCAGCCAUGCCGCGUGUGUGAAGAUGGCCUUAUGGUUGUAAAGCACUUUAAGCGAGGAGGAGGCUACUUUAGUUAAUACCUAGAGAUAGUGGACGUUACACGCAGAAUAAGCACCGGCUAACUCUGUGCCAGCCGCCGCCGUAA